rnacentral:rRNA from 1 species
AGAGUUUGAUCCUGGCUCAGAGCGAACGCUGGCGGCGUACUUAACACAUGCAAGUCGAACGGGGAUCGUCAGUGUAGCAAUACAUCGGCGGUUCUAGUGGCGCACGGGUGAGUAACACGUGGGUAACCUGUCCUUGAGUCCGGGAUACCCUUUCGAAAGGAAGGCUAAUACCGGGUACGUUCCUCGGGUUGCGAAAUCUGGGGAGGAAAGGUGGCGAAAGCUACCGCUCUUGGAGGGGCUCGCGGCCUAUCAGCUAGUUGGUGAGGUAACGGCUCACCAAGGCGAUGACGGGUAGCUGGUCUGAGAGGACGACCAGCCACACGGGAACUGAGACACGGUCCCGACUCCUACGGGAGGCAGCAGUGGGGAAUUUUCCGCAAUGGGCGAAAGCCUGACGGAGUGACGCCGCGUGGGGGACGAAGGCCUUCGGGUCGUAAACCCCUGUCAGAGGGAAAGAAGGGUCGCUUGGCUAAUAUCCAAGUGAUCUGACGGUACCUUCAGAGGAAGCCCCGGCCAACUCUGUGCCAGCAGCCGCGGUAAGACAGAGGGGGCAAGCGUUGCUCGGAAUCACUGGGCGUAAAGGGCGCGUAGGCGGGAUGGCAAGUCGGUCGUGAAAUCUCUCGGCUCAACCGAGAAACGUCGGCCGAUACUGCCGUUCUUGAGGGAUGCAGAGGAGACUGGAAUUCCCGGUGUAGCGGUGAAAUGUGUAGAGAUCGGGAGGAACACCGGUGGCGAAGGCGGGUCUCUGGGCAUUUCCUGACGCUGAGGCGCGAAAGCGUGGGGAGCAAACGGGAUUAGAUACCCCGGUAGUCCACGCUGUAAACGAUGACGACUAGGUGUGGGGUGGUUCAGUCCAUUCCGUGCCGCAGCUAACGCAUUAAGUCGUCCGCCUGGGGAGUACGGCCGCAAGGUUGAAACUCAAAGGAAUUGACGGGGCCCGCACAAGCGGUGGAGCAUGGUGGUUCAA